AUGAUCAUACUUGACAAGAUCAUUUCUGUAUUAUAUUUUUGAAAAGUCUCCAGUCAAAUAUAGAGUAUCGCAACCAUGCUGACGAGUUGUAGUCACAUUUCUUCAGCGUGAGAUAUGAUUCCCGAUGAGAUAUCGGUUUGACUGGACGUCCACGAUGAUCGUUCACCUGUUUUAGGACAAGAUACACGGAAAUUGGACAAUGCU